CCUAAUUUAAUAUCGGAUACCUAUAUAAGCUAGUAAUAUGGUCUAGUGUUUCUACAAUUAACCGUAAAUUAAUUACUAUGGUAAAAUUAUGUAAUUUU
rnacentral:ncRNA from 2 species